rnacentral:tRNA from 1 species
UCGUGGGUAGCUUAAUUGGUAAAGCACCAGAUUGUGGCUCUGGCAAAUGUGGGUUCAAAUCCCAUCUCACGAG